rnacentral:rRNA from 1 species
UACGUAGGGGGCAAGCGUUGUCCGGAUUUAUUGGGCGUAAAGAGCGUGUAGGCGGUUUGGUAGGUCCGCUGUGAAAACUCGAGGCUCAACCUCGAGACGCCGGUGGAAACCAUCAGGCUAGAGUCCGGAAGAGGAGAGUGGAAUUCCUGGUGUAGCGGUGAAAUGCGCAGAUAUCAGGAAGAACACCCGUGGCGAAGGCGGCUCUCUGGGACGGUACUGACGCUGAGACGCGAAAGCGUGGGGGAGCGAACAGG